GCCAGCAGUCAUAUCACCCUGCAGCUCCCAACUGGCCACCCACUGGAACUCAGGAGAAGAGAGCCUGGUCAGUACCUGGAUGGGAGACCUCCUGGGAAAAACUAAGGUUGCUGCUGGAA
rnacentral:rRNA from 1 species